AUGAACGCUAGCGGCAGGCUUAACACAUGCAAGUCGAGGGGUANNNNUCUUCGGNANNAGAGACCGGCGCACGGGUGCGUAACGCGUAUGCAAUCUACCUUUUACAGAGGGAUAGCCCAGAGAAAUUUGGAUUAAUACCUCAUAGUAUUAUGAAAUGGCAUCAUNUUAUAAUUAAAGUCACAACGGUAAAAGAUGAGCAUGCGUCCCAUUAGCUAGUUGGUAAGGUAACGGCUUACCAAGGCUACGAUGGGUAGGGG
rnacentral:rRNA from 2 species